rnacentral:rRNA from 1 species
UACGGAGGGUGCAAGCGUUGUUCGGAAUUACUGGGCGUAAAGGGCGUGUAGGUGGUAGGGUGUGUCAGAUGUGAAAGCCCUGGGCUCAACCCAGGAAGUGCAUUUGAAACUACUCUACUUGAGUAUGGGAGAGGAGAGUGGAAUUCCCAGUGUAGAGGUGAAAUUCGUAGAUAUUGGGAGGAACACCCGUGGCGAAGGCGGCUCUCUGGACCAAUACUGACACUGAGACGCGAAAGCGUGGGGAGCAAACAGG